CUUCAGUGAUGAUACGAUGACGAGUCGGAACAGGAUCCACUCUGGUUCUGGUGCUGACUGGUUCAGAUCUAUGUUCUGUGGUUCUGGUCCAGGUCAUCAAAUCAGAAGGUCCUUCCCGGUUGAAGACAUUGAGGCAUUUGUCUGAGAAGG